AUACGGAGGGUGCAAGCGUUGUCCGGAUUUAUUGGGUUUAAAGGGUGCGUAGGUGGUUUUUUAAGUCAGUGGUGAAAGCCUACAGCUUAACGGUAGAGGUGCCAUUGAUACUGGGGAACUUGAGUAUGGACGAGGUAGGCGGAAUUUGUGGUGUAGCGGUGAAAUGCAUAGAUACCAAAAGGAACACCGAUAGCGAAGGCAGCUUACUGGGCCAUAACUGACACUGAGGCACGAAAGCGUGGGGAGCGAACAGGAUUAGAUACCCUAGUAGUCC
rnacentral:rRNA from 1 species